rnacentral:lncRNA from 1 species
CUAUCAUGUACACUUUCUUUUGAGAAGUAGCAAUCAUAUCAUCAUACACAGAAUUUUUUUUUUUUUGAAACUGGAUCAUACACAGAAAAUUUGAACUUGCAGUUGCUGCUAUGUGUACGGAUUCCAUGUUUUGUUCGUCCUCAUUGCCUGCGUUGUGUACUUCAUCCUCAACCUGCAGGUGUCCUUCCUGCUAGUGAUCAGCAUCGUCAUCCUGGGCUUGCGCAUUGGAGGCAUUAUUCCUGGCCGCUGCUGGCAUCAUUGCUGAUGCUUACCUUCCUGUGAUUAACUUUCAAUUCUGUCAAACAAGGAUGAAAAGACAAGACAAAAUCAAGGACACUACAUCAACACAAAUGAAAGAACAUUGUUCUUGCACUUUGUCAAACAAGGCUGAAUACUUAUUUAUUUUCUCCCAACACUCACUCUAGCUAAUGUACGUUUGGGAGAUACGUACAGGAAAGAAAACAUGUACCUCCCUCUUGGACACAUGAAUGAUUCAUCAACAUCUUCUUUGUUUCUCCAUGAAAGCUCUCUCUUUUUCUCACAUAUCUGUACCAUUUUCCUCAAAUGGUUGAUCAUCCAUGGCCUGCCUUUUGCAUAAGAUAAUCAAUUCGUCACUGAAAUAUCUAUCAGUUUUGUUGUAGGCAAACCAAAAAUAAGAACUUAACUUAACUAAACUAAAAAUAAAUAUUGAACGAAAAUUGGAAAUCGAGCUGAACUAAAACUAGGAACUGGACUGAACUUUUCUAAUAUUAGUACAUGUAGCUCUCGAUAUAAGUAGUGUACUGCCAAGCAAUACAAAUGAGAAAAAGAAAUAAACCCUGGCAUUCAUUACAUUGACAUUUAAUACAUCGCGCAUACAUGUUAAAUAAUGGAAACAUUUCAUUUUUUUACAGCAAGCAGACACCUUUUGGCAUUUUCAACUACAGUUAUAAAAUAUACCAAACCCAUUUUCCAAGCAUAGAACUGCAGAAAUAUAGCAAAGUUGAACUAUUGUAUUCUACAGAGAACUGCACAGAAUUAAUAAUCUGAAAUGCUUUUUUUCUCAC